AGAUUGAACGCUGGCGGCAGGCCUAACACAUGCAAGUCGAGCGGUAGAGAGGUGCUUGCAUCUCUUGAGAGCGGCGGACGGGUGAGUAAUGCCUAGGAAUCUGCCUAGUGGUGGGGGAUAACGUUCGGAAACGACGCUAAUACCGCAUACGCCUACGGGAGAAAGCGGGGGACCUUCGGGACCUCGCGCCAUUAGGAUGAGUCCUAGGUCGGAUUAGCUAAGUUGGUAGAGGUAACUGGCUCACCGAAGGCGACGACUACCGUAACUGGUCUGAGUAGGAUAGGAUC
rnacentral:rRNA from 1 species